rfam:Myotis brandtii contig227710, whole genome shotgun sequence.
GGCAGUUCUCAGGUGACACACCCUGGAAUCGGGCUCCUUCCUCUCUGGUUCUGGUUGCCUCACCUGAGAACCACA